rnacentral:rRNA from 1 species
AUUGAACGCUGGCGGCAGGCCUAACACAUGCAAGUCGAGCGAGCGGCGGACGGGUGAGUAAUGUAUGGGGACUGCCCGAUAUAGGGGGAUAACUACUGGAAACGGUGGCUAAUACCGCAUACUAUCGGAUAACCCCGAUGUGAUGAGAUAGUAGGUGGGGUAAAGGCUCACCUAGGCGACGAUCUCUAGAGGGUCUGAGAGGAUGAUCAGCCACACUGGGAAUGAGACACGGCCCAGACUCCUACGGAGGCAGCAGUGGGGAAUAUUGCACAAUGGGCGCAAGCCUGAUGCAGCCAUGCCGCGUGUAUGAAGAAGGCUUUAGGGUUGUAAAGUACUGUCAUCGGGGAGGCGUUACCCGCAGAAGAAGCACCGGCUAACUCCGUGCCAGCAGCCGCGGUAAUAC